ACGGGGUGCAGCAGGCGCGAACACUUUACAAUGCGGGAAACCGCGAUAAGGGAACCCCGAGUGCCAGCAUCAAAUGUUGGCUGUCCAGAUGAUUAAAAAUCAUUUGUUAGCAAGGGCCGGGCAAGACCGGUGCCAGCCGCCGCGGUAACACCGGCGGCCCGAGUGGUAGCCGUUUUUAUUGGGUCUAAGGGGUCCGUAGCCGGCCUGAUAAGUCCUUUGGGAAAUCUGGCAGCUUAACUGUCAGGCUUCUAAGGGAUACUGUCAGGCUUGGGACCGGAAGAGGUAAGGGGUACUCCAGGGGUAGGAGUGAAAUCUUGUAAUCCCUGGGGGACCAUCUGUGGCGAAGGCGCCUUACCAGAACGGGUCCGACGGUGAGGGACGAAAGCUAGGGGAGCAAACCGGAUUAGAUACCCGGGUAGUCCUAGCUGUAAACGAUGCUCGCUAGGUGUCAGACACGGUGCGACCGUGUUUGGUGCCGCAGGGAAGCCGUUAAGCGAGCCACCUGGAAGUACGUCGCAAGGC
rnacentral:rRNA from 1 species